rnacentral:rRNA from 1 species
UACGGGGGGAGCAAGCGUUGUUCGGAUUUACUGGGCGUAAAGGGCUCGUAGGCGGCCAACUAAGUCAGACGUGAAAUCCCUCAGCUUAACUGGGGAACUGCGUCUGAUACUGGAUGGCUUGGAUUUGGGAGAGGAAUGCGGAAUUCCAGGUGUAGCGGUGAAAUGCGUAGAUAUCUGGAGGAACACCGGUGGCGAAGGCGGCAUUCUGGACCAAUAUUGACGCUGAGGAGCGAAAGCCAGGGGAGCAAACGGG